UGAAGCACAUGAAACAAACAAAAAAAGAAUACAAAACGAGGGUGACACCUGGGAAGAUGGUGAUGAGACUGCCUGGGACUCUGAGGCCCAUUGCAGAAGGAAUGGCUCCUUUCUCCCCGCUGGAAGGGCACCAUGGGGCAGACGCCCGAAGACUACCAGGCUCUUGGCCACGGACAGGCGGGCAAACAUUGGAGUUCACUUCAGAUUCUGCUGGGAUCAAGAUCGUCAUCUCACUUCAGGCCCAGGAAAGGAAUCAGGUGCUGAGCAGUUUCCAGCUUCUGUAAUCAAGAUUGUUUUCAAGCUGUGUCCUCGUGUCAGAGAUGAGACCAAGAAGACUCAACUUGUGCUUCACUUCACGGCAGAGAACCUGGGUCCCCUUGCUGUUGGAAACACAACACCAGUAGUCAACACGCUGGCGCACACAGAAGCACGUCCGAACACAAACGUGGCCCUGGGUCAGCUCAAGUGCCAGGGAUUGAAACCAGGACCCCCCACAUAAGAG